rnacentral:rRNA from 1 species
UGGGGAAUUUUGGACAAUGGACGCAAGUCUGAUCCAGCAAUGCCACGUGCAGGAUGAAGGCCUUCGGGUUGUAAACUGCUUUUGUACGGAGCGAAAAGGUCUGCCCUAAUACGGUGGGCUCAUGACGGUACCGUAAGAAUAAGCACCGGCUAACUACGUGCCAGCAGCCGCGGUAAUACGUAGGGUGCGAGCGUUAAUCGGAAUUACUGGGCGUAAAGCGUGCGCAGGCGGUUAUGCAAGACAGAGGUGAAAUCCCCGGGCUCAACCUGGGAACUGCCUUUGUGACUGCAUAGCUAGAGUACGGUAGAGGGGGAUGGAAUUCCGCGUGUAGCAGUGAAAUGCGUAGAUAUGCGGAGGAACACCGAUGGCGAAGGCAAUCCCCUGGACCUGUACUGACGCUCAUGCACGAAAGCGUGGGGAGCAAACA